GACGAACGCUGGCGGCGUGCUUAACACAUGCAAGUCGAACGGAAAGGCCCUGCUUUUGUGGGGUGCUCGAGUGGCGAACGGGUGAGUAACACGUGAGUAACCUGCCCUUGACUUUGGGAUAACUUCAGGAAACUGGGGCUAAUACCGGAUAGGAGCUCCUGCUGCAUGGUGGGGGUUGGAAAGUUUCGGCGGUUGGGGAUGGACUCGCGGCUUAUCAGCUUGUUGGUGGGGUAGUGGCUUACCAAGGCUUUGACGGGUAGCCGGCCUGAGAGGGUGACCGGCCACAUUGGGACUGAGAUACAGCCCAGACUCCUACGGGAGGCAGCAGUGGGGAAUAUUGCACAAUGGGCGGAAGCCUGAUGCAGCAACGCCGCGUGCGGGAUGACGGCCUUCGGGGUGUAAACCGCUUUCGCCUGUGACGAAGCGUGAGUGACGGUAAUGGGUAAAGAAGCACCGGCUAACUACGUG
rnacentral:rRNA from 1 species